rnacentral:rRNA from 1 species
UGCAAGUCGAACGGAAAGGCCCUUCGGGGUACUCGAGUGGCGAACGGGUGAGUAACACGUGGGUGAUCUGCCCUGCACUUUGGGAUAAGCCUGGGAAACUGGGUCUAAUACCGAAUAUGACCGCGCACUUCCUGGUGUGUGGUGGAAAGCUUUUGCGGUGUGGGAUGGGCCCGCGGCCUAUCAGCUUGUUGGUGGGGUAAUGGCCUACCAAGGCGACGACGGGUAGCCGGCCUGAGAGGGUGACCGGCCACACUGGGACUGAGAUACGGCCCAGACUCCUACGGGAGGCAGCAGUGGGGAAUAUUGCACAAUGGGCGCAAGCCUGAUGCAGCGACGCCGCGUGAGGGAUGACGGCCUUCGGGUUGUAAACCUCUUUCAAUAGGGACGAAGCGCAAGUGACGGUACCUAUAGAAGAAGGACCGGCCAACUACGUGCCAGCAGCCGCGGUAAUACGUAGGGUCCGAGCGUUGUCCGGAAUUACUGGGCGUAAAGAGCUCGUAGGUGGUUUGUCGCGUUGUUCGUGAAAACUCACAGCUUAACUGUGGGCGUGCGGGCGAUACGGGCAGACUAUAGUACUGCAGGGGAGACUGGAAUUCCUGGUGUAGCGGUGGAAUGCGCAGAUAUCAGGAGGAACACCGGUGGCGAAGGCGGGUCUCUGGGCAGUAACUGACGCUGAGGAGCGAAAGCGUGGGGAGCGAACAGGAUUAGAUACCCUGGUAGUCCACGCCGUACACGGUGGGUACUAGGUGUGGGUUUCCUUCCUUGCGAUCCGUGCCGUAGCUAACGCAUUAAGUACCCCGCCUGGAGAGUACGGCCGCAAGGCUAAUACUCACAGAAAUUGACGGGGGCCCGCACAAGCGGCGGAGCAUGUGGAUUAAUUCAAUGCAACGCGAAGAACCUUACCUGGGUUUGACAUGCACAGGACGCCAGUAGAGAUAUUGGUUCCCUUGUGGCCUGUGUGCACGUGGUGCAUGGCUGUCGUCAGCUCGUGUCGUGAGAUGUUGGGUUAAGUCCCGCAACGAGCGCAACCCUUGUCUCAUGUUGCCA